CGUUCAAGAAAAAGAUCAUCAAACAAUGCAGAAAGCUUCCAUCCACAAGUGAGCUUGAAGAACUCUUGCUGGCAGCUGAUCCUCCUGAGGAUGGCACUGAAUUGGAUGUUGACUUUGGUUGGGACAGUGAUCUGUCAUCGGUUUUACUGCUUAUACACCUGAUUCCACCCUCCGCUCAGGGUCGGAAGAGACCAGGAAAGGUUUCCGCAUCCCAAGCAGAGAAACAUCUUGUGGUAUUCAAGAAGACCGGAACAAACAUUCAAGAGCAUCUCGAUGCCAUCACUACUAGCGCUCAGCCCUAUCUCCUAGCUGUUGGAGUUAAGAAGAAUGCAAUCCACCAGUUCUUCAUCAUUAUCGACAAGAAUGCCAUACCUUGCAGGUCAACCUCUUCUCUUGUU